rnacentral:rRNA from 1 species
AUUGAACGCUGGCGGCAGGCUUAACACAUGCAAGUCGAACGAGUGGCGGACGGGUGAGUAAUGCCUGGGAAACUGGCUUAUGGAGGGGGAUAACUACGGGAAACUGUAGCUAAUACCGCAUACCAUAGGAUGAGCCCAGGUGGGAUUAGGUAGUUGGUGGGGUAAUGGCUCACCAAGGCGACGAUCUCUAGCUGGUCUGAGAGGAUGACCAGCCACACUGGAACUGAGACACGGCCCAGACUCCUACGGGAGGCAGCAGUGGGGAAUUUUGCGCAAUGGACGAAAGCUGACGGAGCAACGCCGCGUGAGUGAAGAAGGUUUUCGGAUUGUAAAGCUCUUUUGUGAGAGAAGCGGUAGCUAACCAGAAAGCAACGGCUAACUACGUGCCAGCAGCCGCGGUAAUUC